GAGGGUACAGCUCAGUGGUAGAGUAUGUGCUUAGCAUGCCCGAGGUCCUGGGUUCAAUAUCCAGUACCUCCA
rfam:Camelus ferus unplaced genomic scaffold scaffold760, whole genome shotgun sequence.